rfam:Schistocephalus solidus strain NST_G2 genome assembly, scaffold: SSLN_scaffold0006278
GGCCUCGUAGCUCAGUUGGCUAGAGCGUUGGCUGCACUAAAGCCUUCCUCUUGCUGGCGUGGGUUCGAAUCCCACCGAGGUCG